GUUGAAAGCCUUCCACAGGGACUCUACAAGGUGUUAAAAGCCUUCCACAGGGACUCUACAAGGUGUUGAAAGCCUUCCACAGGGACUCUACAAGGUGUUGAAAGCCUUCCACAGGG